AUGUUAGUGUGAAACCUCAAACAUUUAUCUGACUUUUGAGCUUAGAGUAAAUAGUUAUGUUUGUUUGAGUAAAACUUCACUAGUUAAAGCAUUUCAUAGUUUGAGAAAAGGAUAUUUUUAUGUUUUCCUUUUACUAGGAUUAAACACGUUGUUACUCACCCAAUUAAGGGUUUAAUCACACGCUAAGACAUUUUUCACGCAUCUUAACACUUAGGGAUUUAGAGCGAGGUUUGAAGAAGAGAAAAGGGCUAAGUUUCUAGCGUUCAUUAAGAUUUGUGGAAUUCGCAAAGAACAUUGUUCUUUCCAGGGUCAUCAACAAGCACUUCGUUGACAACAUUUGCACUCCAACUAGCUUUGGUGAGCCUCCUUGCUUUCCGAAGGGCUCCACAUUUAUAUUUCUAUUUUGUAAAGAUGUUGUGGGUCUUCUCCCGGCAUCUAUUGUAGUAUUUAGAGGCUUCGUAAAUAGUUAAAGUUGAGUAGUCUUUCGAUAUUGUCUUUUGUUGAGAUGUUUUGAGGUCUUAAGAUGCUUAUCUAUACGUUGUUAGUCAUUUUCAGACAUUUAUUUUAGUUAAUAGUUAACUUGAGAUUUUAAAGUUUAAUGUUGAAA